rnacentral:rRNA from 1 species
UACGUAGGGUGCGAGCGUUGUCCGGAAUUAUUGGGCGUAAAGGGCUCGUAGGCGGUUUGUCGCGUCGGGAGUGAAAUCAUCUAGCUUAACUGGGUGCUUGCUUUCGAUACGGGCAGACUUGAGGUAUGCAGGGGAGAAUGGAAUUCCUGGUGUAGCGGUGAAAUGCGCAGAUAUCAGGAGGAACACCGGUGGCGAAGGCGGUUCUCUGGGCAUUACCUGACGCUGAGGAGCGAAAGUGUGGGGAGCGAACAGG